UUCGACGAGGGUGUGUCAAAACUCAGCUAGGCGCUUCGGUGUCAACUGGUAAGAAGUUAGUGCCGUAGGAAGCUAGAUAAUUGGUGACAUGUAUAGCAUCAUAAUUUGUAAACUACAACUUAGUGAUUUUGUUUUAGAGGUAACAAUUGCGGUAUCAUAUUCACUGAUUGUUUUUUCAUAAAAUAGUUCAUUGGGUGCUAGCUAUCCCUGAAGACUGGUUGUUGUACAUACUGGCUGCUGUACAUAUUUCAGAAUAUUUGGCUGCUUGCUAGAGAGUGCAUACUGGCUGGUGUACAAAUUUCAGAAUAUUUGCAGUACAUAAAUAUCUUAUGAUGUUAAAAAUUCACAGUGGUUCCUUCACUACCCUCCUCAUUCGGUGUUCCACCUCACCACUCCCCAGCAGUGGGAGCAGAGCAGCCGACGGGUUCCUGGCUUACCUGCCUUGCAAAGAGGUAGUCAUGACUGAACCUGAAAAAAUGCUGCUUCCUGUAUACAUUAGUAGAGGAAAAAAAUGACUUGAUUUCUGUAGGAGUGUCUUGUGGAUUAAGUGGAUAUGUAAUGUCCUUUAAAAAAAGUGGAUAGGUAAUGUACUAUUCUUGAUUGCAGCUGGUGCUUUUUUGGAAAUUUGAUAACACCACAAGCAGCAAUCGAUUUUGAAAGCCAAAAAAUAUCCAAGACAUGUACAGUGGGAAUACUACCAGUUUAGGAGCAAAGUAACCAUUACUAGAGUAAUGAAUAUGAGAAAUGAAUAGUUGAUGAAACUGAGCACUGUUGUAAUUCUCGACAGUGAAAUGGUCUUUUUUGUCCCAGUAAAGGUUGGAGGCAGAAUCAGCUUCAAUCUCGAGUACCCAAUUGUAGAGAAGAUGAAAGGAGGCACAACAUAUAUGGAAGUACGAACUCUGGCAGUAACAAUUUUAUGUUUCCAAGUUAGGUUGAUGAUAUUCAACUUAAUAGAACCCAAACUUUUGUUGUUGAGUUCAAUAUACAGUGUCCCGUGUAUAGUUUUUAAGGUGUCAUGUUUCUCAAGAGAAUACAUCUGCACGUAAGGAACUAGCUACCAGUAUCAAUCUAAAUGAACAAGCUCAUAAGCGCCUUUGCUUUUGAUUCAUUCGUUUUAUACUUUUGUUGGAGCAUAGUUCCAUUCAUAUUUGUGAUAUACUUAUUUUUCUGUAUCACUUACAAUUUUUGCUUAGCAAAGUGAUGUCCCUCUUGAAUAAUCAUAUGCUGCUAUCCGUUCAGACAUUGCACUUAGCAAAUGUAAUCUUUUAUGGGAUUAGAUGUGAUUUUCUGUUUCAUUAUACUGAUUGUGACAUCAAUGGGAUAUUGCGUACAAUGUUCUAAUGUUAAGAUGUUGUAAGUACUCACUGUGGUUUCGACAUGAUGCUUGGUAUAUGGAGUCUAUAGCAUCAAUGUGAUGCAUAAGCCUUUCCAAAUUAAAUCAACUUGUCUGAAUUCUUUCCUCUCUUAUCGCAUGCUUAAGUUUCUUGCUCGUGUUUAGUAUGAUGCGCAAGAGAGUUGAUGCCCACCGAGUUCCA
rnacentral:lncRNA from 1 species